rnacentral:rRNA from 1 species
CCCUUAGAUGUCCUGGGCCGCACGCGCGUUACACUGAUGCAUUCAACGAGCUUAUAACCUUGGCCGAGAGGCCUGGGCAAUCUUGUUAACGUGCAUCGUGAUAGGGAUAGAUUAUUGAAAUUAUUAAUCUUGAACGAGGAAUUCCUAGUAAACGCAGAUCAUCAAUCUGCAUUGAUUACGUCCCUGCCCUUUGUACACACCGCCCGUCGCACCUACCGAUUGGAUGGUCCGGUGAAGCCUCGGGAUUGUGGUUCUUACCGCUUUAUUGUGGCGUGACCGCGAGAACUUGUCUAAACCUUAUCAUCUAGAGGAAGGUGAAGUCGUAACA